CCUACGGGAGGCAGCAGUGAGGAAUAUUGGUCAAUGGGCGUAAGCCUGAACCAGCCAAGUCGCGUGAGGGAUGAAGGUUCUAUGGAUCGUAAACCUCUUUUAUAAGGGAAUAAAGUGUGGGACGUGUCCUAUUUUGUAUGUACCUUAUGAAUAAGGAUCGGCUAACUCCGUGCCAGCAGCCGCGGUAAUACGGAGGAUCCGAGCGUUAUCCGGAUUUAUUGGGGUUAAAGGGUGCGUAGGCGGCCUUUUAAGUCAGCGGUGAAAGUCUGUGGCUCAACCAUCGAAUUGCCGUUGAAACUGGGGGGCUUGAGUAUGUGAGAGGCAGGCGGAAGGCGUGGUGUAGCGGUGAAAUGCAUAGAUAUCACGCAGAACCCCGAUUGCGAAGGCAGCCUGCCAAGCCAUGACUGACGCUGAUGCACGAAAGCGUGGGGAUCAAACAGGAUUAGAUACCCGUGUAGUC
rnacentral:rRNA from 1 species